CCUACGGGGCGCAGCAGUAGGGAAUUUUCGGCAAUGGGGGGAACCCUGACCGAGCAACGCCGCGUGAACGAAGAAGUUAUUCGUAAUGUAAAGUUCUUUUAACAGGGAAGAAAGAGAAAUUUGACGGUACCUGAAGAAUAAGCUCCGGCUAACUGCGUGCCAGCAGCCGCGGUAAUACGGAGGGAGCGAGUGUUACUCGGAAUUAGUGGACGGAAAGGGUGCGUAGAUGGCAUAGUAUGUAUUUUGUAAAAACGCUGGGAUAAACCCAGGAUGGCAAAAGAUACUGCAAAGCUAGAGUAUGACAGAGGCAAGUGGAACUACAUGUGUAGCGGUAAAAUGCGUAAAUAUAUGGAAGAACACCAGUGGCGAAGGCGGCUUGCUGGGUCGAUACUGACAUUGAGGCACGAAAGCGUGGGGAGCAAACAGGAUUAGAUACCCCUGUAGUC
rnacentral:rRNA from 1 species